rnacentral:rRNA from 1 species
UACGUAGGGGGCUAGCGUUGUCCGGAAUCAUUGGGCGUAAAGAGCGUGUAGGCGGUCCGGUAAGUCCACUGUGAAAGUCGGGGGCUCAACCCUCGAAUGCCGGUGGAUACUGUCGGGCUAGAGUGCGGAAGAGGCGAGUGGAAUUCCUGGUGUAGCGGUGAAAUGCGCAGAUAUCAGGAGGAACACCUAUUGCGAAGGCAGCUCGCUGGGACGUAACUGACGCUGAGACGCGAAAGCGUGGGGAGCAAACAGG